rnacentral:rRNA from 1 species
ACUCCUACGGGAGGCAGCAGUGGGGAAUAUUGGACAAUGGGCGAAAGCCUGAUCCAGCAAUGCCGCGUGAGUGAUGAAGGCCCUAGGGUUGUAAAGCUCUUUUACCCGGGUAAGAUAAUGACUGUACCGGGAGAAUAAGCCCGGCUAACUCCGUGCCAGCAGCCGCGGUAAUACGGAGGGGGCUAGCGUUGUUCGGAAUUACUGGGGCGUAAAGCGCACGCAGGCGGCUUUGUAAGUCAGAGGUGAAAGCCUGGAGCUCAACUCCAGAACUGCCUUUGAGACUGCAUCGCUUGAAUCCAGGAGAGGUCAGUGGAAUUCCGAGUGUAGAGGUGAAAUUCGUAGAUAUUCGGAAGAACACCAGUGGCGAAGGCGGCUGACUGGACUGGUAUUGACGCUGAGGUGCGAAAGCGUGGGGAGCAAACAGGAUUAGAUA